CAGGUGUUUUCCAGAAAUCCUGUGGAUUUAUGAUUGUAACGAGGCUCAUUAAUAAUCUGAAAUAGUAAAGCUUUAUGUGGGAAGAAGAGUUUAAGCUCAGAGAAUUGGGACAUUUGGGAAGAAGAUUAGGAAAAGAUAGUAAAAACCUGCAAUAAAAAGAAAAGGGGGGU